GACGAACGCUGGCGGCGUGCUUAACACAUGCAAGUCGAACGGAAAGGCCCUGCUUUUGUGGGGUGCUCGAGUGGCGAACGGGUGAGUAACACGUGAGUAACCUGCUCUUGACUUUGGGAUAACUUCAGGAAACUGGGGCUAAUACCGGAUAGGAGCUCCUGCUGCAUGGUGGGGGUUGGAAAGUUUCGGCGGUUGGGGAUGGACUCGCGGCUUAUUAGCUUGUUGGUGGGGUAGUGGCUUACCAAGGCUUUGACGGGUAGCCGGCCUGAGAGGGUGACCGGCCACAUUGGGACUGAGAUCCGGCCCAGACUCCUACGGGAGGCAGCAGGGGGGAAAAUUGCAAAAUGGGCGGAAGCCGGAGGCAGCAACGCCGGGUGCGGGAUGACGGCCUUGGGUUUGUAAACCGCUUUCGCCUGUGACGAAGCGUGAGUGACGGUAAUUGGUAAAGAAGCACCGGCUAACUACGUG
rnacentral:rRNA from 1 species